CAGAGGUCCCGAGCGUUGUUCGGAUUCAUUGGGCGUAAAGGGUGCGUAGGCGGCGGGGCAAGUUUGAUGUGAAAUCCCGGGGCUCAACCCUGGAAUUGCAUUGAAUACUGCUCUGCUAGAGUACCGGAGAGGAAACUGGAAUUUACGGUGUAGCAGUGAAAUGCGUAGAGAUCGUAAGGAAGACCAGUGGCGAAGGCGAGUUUCUGGACGGUAACUGACGCUGAGGCACGAAGGCCAGGGGAGCAAACGGGAUUAGAUACCCCGGUAGUCCUGGCAGUAAACGGUGCAUGUUUGGUGUGGGAGGAAUCGACCCCUUCCGUGCCGGAGCUAACGCGUUAAACAUGCCGCCUGGGGAGUACGGUCGCAAGAUUA
rnacentral:rRNA from 1 species